AACGAACGCUGGCGGCAUGCCUAACACAUGCAAGUCGAACGAGACCUUCGGGUCUUGUGGCGAACGGGUGCGUAACGCGUGGGAACCUUCCCUUAGGUUCGGACUAACUCCCCGAAAGGGGUGCUAAUACCGGAUAAUGUCUUCGGGCCAAUGAUUUAUCGCCUCGGGAUGGGCCCGCGUUGGAUUAGCUAGUUGGUCGGGUAAAAGUCUACCAAGGCGACGAUCCAUAGCUGGUCUGAGAAGAUGAUCAGCCACACUGGGACUGAGACACGGCCCAGACUCCUACGGGAGGCAGCAGUGGGGAAUAAUGGACAAUGGGCGAAAGCCUGAUCCAGCAAUGCCGCGUGAGUGAGGAAGUCCUUAGGGUUGUAAAGCUCUGUUACCCGGGAAGAUAAUGACAGUACCGAGAGAAUAAGCUCCGGCUAACUCCGUG
rnacentral:rRNA from 1 species